rnacentral:sRNA from 1 species
UAUAACGAGAUAAAGUUUUGAAAAAGCGA